rnacentral:rRNA from 1 species
GAUGAACGCUAGCGGCAGGCCUUAAUACAUGCAAGUCGAGGGGGAUUAACUGGGUAGCAAUACUCGGUUAUGAGACCGGCAAACGGGUGCGGAACACGUACGCAACCUUCCCAAAACUGGUGAAUAGCCCUCCGAAAGGAGGAUUAAUACACCGUAACUUAAUGAAGUGGCAUCACUUUAUUAAUAUAGCUCCGGCGGUU